ACCUCUGCUCUCUCCCUCUCUGUCCGUUCAGAGCUCCGGCGAGCAAUCGAAGCCCUAAACGCCGGCGGACGAACACCUCCCUCACGCUGUGCCGGCGAACGAACGAAGCUUCAAGGGCCCGUUCUAGGGGUUUGCUGCACGUUCUGGGGUUUUGAUUUCGAGGUUAAACACUAAGGAAGUAGAAAAUGCAAAUCCAAUGAAGUAGAAAAUCUGCCUUGAUGGAGCUGUCUUGAUGGAACUGCUGCUGUUCUCAAAACAGAAUUUCAGGAACAGAAUUUUGGAAAUUCACUAAAGCUUUUCAAGUGAUGUUGUGAAAUUGGUCUGCUGAUGUUGGACACCUCUAUUUUGAGCAUCAAAAGGAACAAGAUUGGUGCAGAUCAUCAAAAGGAACACCAAUCUGAUUGCUCGGGUUUAAGGCAAUAAGGCUUUUACUAAUCUGGUAUAAGGCUGUUACUCCUUGAUUCAAUAUCACUUCUUGGGGAUGUUCUGGUGCUUCAGGACUUCUACUGGAUUGAUCACUUUUUUGGAAGUACACCAAAUAGUAAGAGCUCUUUUUUCUGGACGGUUUGCUAGGCUGGUGUAUUGUAUACUGCUAAAACAUUGCAGUGGUUGUAGUUUUUGUUCUUCUUCUUUGGGUUGGCUUCUGGCCAGCCCUCUUCUUCUUUGUAUUUUUGUUCCCUUUAGUCUUUGUAAUCCUUUUUCAAAGAUUAAUAAAAUUUCUUUGCCGUUCAAAAAAAAAAA